UUUUCCAUCUCGGUACCAGCAAACUCUACUCGCCAUGUGUGAAACGUUGAAACAUCAAAUCAAAACAUCAUUUUGUGGCCAUCUUGGAAGUCUUCUGGUGCUUUUGGUGCAUGGUUCGUGAACAGCUAAUAUGUAGGAAAUGAGCAUUUUCAACCUAAAGCCACUGGACGUAUAAUUUUUUGCGUCUCAGUUGCCGUUAUUCCAGUACCAUUAUUAGCCUCGUGGCUCUAGAAGUGUUUUCGUCUUAACGGGUUUUUGAAGAGGAUUUUGUCCCUAACGGCGGAAAGAGGGACAUUUUUACAGUGGACGCUCUAACAUACACCGGUGAUAGUGAGGAGACAAUAGGAACCGGUCGCAUAAUAUACGCACUGCGUGAACAGCUAUAAUUACAUAGCUGAUAUCACAUACGAAAUGACAGUAACCGAAACAACACUCGAACGCAUUCCUACAUCGGAAGGCAUUUCUUCCGGGCACGAGUCAGCUCACCCGAUCAAGCCCCAGAAGAUGCACCUGGAAUCAGACCGCAGGUUGCUCUUUUUCGCAAACGGGAUUGUUACCCAUAAGAACAUUAUAAUGGGGUAUAGUGUAUCCAAUACUUCCCACGACGCGAAAAUCGCGGGUGUGAUAACCGGAGCGGGUCUGACGUGCGAAACAAUUAUGAGUGAAGGAGUUGAGAAGUUAAAAAAAACUCCCCUGGAGGAUUGUUGACAUCAUGGACUGUCGGUUUCUAAACUCCUGUGGAGAAAUCGGUUUUCAUAGUUCUAAUUCUAAUCUUAAGUCUCAAGCAAAAAUGUAAAUACGUUAAAACAAAUUUGGCUUCCUAAAACCAACGGAGCCAGUACAAAUAAAUUAAUUUGAAAAAUAAAA